rnacentral:rRNA from 1 species
CGUGAAAUUGUUGAAAGGGAAGCGCUUGCAAUCAGACUCGCCUUCAGUUGAUCAGCCUUCCUUCUGGUUGGUGCACUCUGCUGUUGGCGGGCCAGCAUCAGUUGGGGCGGCGGGACAAAGGCGGCAGGAAUGUGGCUCGUUCGCGAGUGUUAUAGCCUGCCGUGUCAUGCCGCCAGCCCCGACUGAGGUCCGCGGUUCGCCUAGGAUGCUGGCUUAAUGGUUGUAAGCGACCCGUCUUGAAACACG